rnacentral:pre_miRNA from 1 species
GGUCUGGUGCUGUGUGGAAGACUAGUGAUUUUGUUGUUCUAUGUACUAUGACAACAAGUCACAGCCGGCCUCACAGCGCAGACU